GUAGGGUGCAAGCGUUAAUCGGAAUUACUGGGCGUAAAGCGUGCGCAGGCGGCUUUGCAAGACAGAUGUGAAAUCCCCGGGCUCAACCUGGGAACUGCAUUUGUGACUGCAAGGCUGGAGUGCGGCAGAGGGGGAUGGAAUUCCGCGUGUAGCAGUGAAAUGCGUAGAUAUGCGGAGGAACACCGAUGGCGAAGGCAAUCCCCUGGGCCUGCACUGACGCUCAUGCAGGAAAGCGUGGGGAGCAAACAGGAUUAGAUACCCUGGUAGUCCACGCCCUAAACGAUGUCAACUGGUUGUUGGACGGCUUGCUGUUCAGUAACGAAGCUAACGCGUGAAGUUGACCGCCUGGGGAGUACGGCCGCAAGGUUG
rnacentral:rRNA from 1 species